GAGAGUCAGUAUUAACCUGUAGUUUCCAUGUAGCUGUACAACAAACAACCUAAUUAGUAUUAAUUGCCAACAAUAGAGAUCACAAUACAGUUAUAGCCUAUAGGUCAGCGCCCACUUGACACAACUAUACUUCAAAAUCAAACAAUGGGUAUUGGCAAGAGUACACCACAGACUUUUUGUGGCUAAUAGCUUUGAUAAUGGUACACAGACUUCACACAUAGACAUUUGAUACUUGUGUAUAGUACUUCGCGGAAUAGUUAUUACAAGAGUCAUCACUAUACUUCAAAACUUCUGAUGCCUAUUUUACUUCUAAUAGCUUUCAUUAUGAUUAGGGAAAUAUACAG